rnacentral:misc_RNA from 1 species
GUAAGUCUAGUGAUAGAAUCAAGGAAAGCCGAAGAACCAUGCUAGAAACAGAAGAACUUGGAGUUUCAAUUCUCCAAGAUUUACACUCCCAGCGACAGUCUCUCUUGCAUGCUCAUAAUACGCUUCAUGGAGUAGAUGACAAUAUUGGGAAGAGUAAGAGAAUUUUAACCAACAUGUCAAGAAGGAUGAACAAGAACAAAUGGAUUGUUACAUCCAUAAUUGUUGUUCUUGUCUUGGCCAUCAUCCUGAUAUUGUACUUCAAACUUUCCAAAUAGUAAGGUUAUCUUCUUCAUAUGGGUUCGUCAUAUUUGAGUGUUGAAUCAUGAGUUCAUGUUUUAUGUAUUUUUCUG